UCUUAGUUCAACAGAGAACAUAUAAAGCUAGCGGCAUUCGUUAGUGACUCACAAAGAAAAGAGAAGAUAAUUUCACUAAAUUAAGAAUUGUUUAAAAAAAAAAUCGUUAAGUCACGUGCUUAAAGGGAAUUCUGACAUUUGUUAGCGUCCCUUAAGGAAGGCGAUUAAUUUUUUUUUAUUUUGUUUUCAUUAAUUCAAAUUUUUUCGCAUUAUCUCCCUUCUUCUCAGUGGAAUACUAACGAAGGCUGCUAGGUUUAGUUUUCGCUCUCCAACUAGAAAGAGCAAGUCUUAUUCAUUAGAAAUCUUCUGAAUAGGUGUUUCGCAUUUCCACAUAUAUUUUAUUUAUUUCAGUCUUUGCUGAAUUAUUUCCUUAAGUCCAAUUUUGUUCAUUGUGCAAAUUACAGCUCGUUAUACGUCAAUCGGAGCCUUGUUUUUCUCUACCUACAUACCGUAUUAUUUUUACCGAUCAAGCGAAUUUGUAAGCUCCAAAGAGACCAUAAUAUCCGUCAGACAAUUUAAGGUGCCAUUAUAUUAAACAUUUGCGAAGAGUAAGCAUGCCACGCACAAAAAAUUCAACAGAACUGUCAGAAUUUCAAAGAGGUCGUAUUGUUGGGUAAUCUGAGGCUGGUCUUAGCCAGCGAAAAUUGCCGAAAAAUCUUCAAAUUCCUCUUGCUAUUGAGAAUCAACAGAUUCUCGUCCUGGCCGAUGUGGGUCCUCGGAAAGGAAGCUUCACUGUUUGAAGAGAAUUGUGGAAAACGAACCCCGUUGAAGGCUUCUGGCAUUGCAAAACAGCUAGAAGUUAGUCAAAGAACGUGUGUUACAUAUCUGCAUAAGUUUCGGUAUUAUAAACGAGCAGCUAGAAGAAAACCUCUUCCUCAAUCAACUAAUAUCAUGAAAAGAAAGAAAUGGGCUAAGGUGAUGUCAGAAAAAAUCCAGUUCAUUUUGGGAUAGAGUGAUUUUAUCAGAUGAAUCCAGAUUUGCAUUAUUUGAACCCAGAAUGUGAAGACCGAAGAAAUACAGUUAUGUACUGUGUCACAUUAGCCUAUUUUGCCGAGCUGUUAAGUGAGGCGAACGUAAACACACCCAUAUCGGCUGACAAGCGGUUGUGUUAUACACACACACACACAAACACACAUACACACAUCGCUUAGUGGUUUGGAUGUUGCAUUCACGAUUGCGAGAUCAUGGUUUCGAUUCCCUGACCAGGCAUUCUGUUGUGUUUUCUCCAACAAAGCACUUCAUUUCACGUUGCUCUGCAAUCAUUUCAUGUGACAUGUGGCAUACGGUACACCUGUACAGGUAAUUUCAAUGUGAUGGAGGGAGUGAGCUUAUGUGCAACACGAACAUUUUAUUACGAUAAACAAAUCAUGUGCGGUUGUGCAGCAAGAAACUUCAGUGCCUUCAUACGUCGUCUAAUGACGUGAGUGAACAUGAUACACACAUACACACGCACAAACACACAUAUAUAUAUAUACAUAUAUACACAUAGACACACACUCACCCACACACAUACUCAGACAUACACACACACGACGUAUUUCUUUCAGUCUCCGUCUACAAAAUCCGUUCAUAAGACACUUUCCCAAGGUGCCAUGCAGUGGGUUUGAAACUGGAACCAAUGUAGUCGGGAAGCCAGCUUCUUACACCUUUGUGAAAUUUAUUUUUUAAGCACGAUCUUCUGUAUUUUCCCUUUUACUUUCAAUCUCGCUUUCUUUUAUUGACCUUUGAAAAAGCAAACAGCUGUUGAACCCAUUUAAUACAUAUGUUACCAAAUUUGAAAGCCUACCAUUCGUUUUAAGACUCCUUUGCAUUUCCAAUCCCAUUCCCCCACAAGCCAACUCUCCUAUACUAUUUCCUGCGUCAGAAUGCACUUCUUUAUCUCCAUAUACAUUUAUAUAUAAAUAUGUCUAUGUGUGUGGGUCUGUAUGUGUGUGUUUGUAUGUGUACGUGUUUGUAUGUGUGAGGUAUGUGUCUAUAUCUUUCUCCUACUCGUCUCUUCUCUUUAUUCUACUUGAUUCCUCUUUUUCUUUUUCUUUUCUUUUUCAUAUUUAAAGCUUUAAAUGGGUGUAUGCCGUUUAUUUAUGCAAGUAAAUGUAUAUGCCUGUA